GCAUGUAUAGUUUAUAUGGCAUUUGAAGAAGAGGGUCUCAUUGUUCGUGGAAGAAAAGAACAAAAUACUGAUGAUAAUCGUGGGAGGGCACAUGAACUAAAUCCUUGCAAUAAAUCUAAGGGUAGAUCGAUAUCUUCAAAUAGAGGUAAAACUUGUAACUUAAGUAAGAAGAAAGAACAUAUUAAGUCUAAAUGCUAUAAGUUGC
rnacentral:lncRNA from 1 species